rnacentral:rRNA from 1 species
UGGGGAAUUUUGCACAACGGUGGGAACCUUGAUGCAGCGACGCCGCGUGAGGGAUGGAGGCCUUCGGGUUGUGAACCUCUUUCGCUCGUGUGCAAGCCGCUAUUUGGGUAGUGGUGAGUGUAGCGGGUAAAGAAGCGCCGGCUAACUACGUGCCAGCAGCCGCGGUAAUACGUAGGGCGCGUGCGUUGUCCGGAUUUAUUGGGCGUAAAGGGCUUGUAGGCGGUUUGUCGCGCCUGUCGUGUAAUCCUCUGGCUUAACCGGGGGUGUGCGGUGGGUACGGGCAGGCUUGAGUGCGGUAGGGGAGAUUGGAAUUCCUGGUGUAGCGGUGGAAUGCGCAGAUAUCAGGAGGAACACCGGUGGCGAAGGCGGGUCUCUGGGCCGUUACUGACGCUGAGGAGCGAAAGCGUGGGGAGCGAACAGG